AACGAACGCUGGCGGCAGGCCUAACACAUGCAAGUCGAGCGCGCCCUUCGGGGUGAGCGGCGGACGGGUGAGUAACGCGUGGGAACGUGCCCUUUUCACCGGAAUAGCCUCGGGAAAUAGAGCGUAAUACUUUAUUCUCAUUUUGGGGGAGAGCUUUAUCGGAAAAGGAUCGGCGCGCGUUGGUUUAGGUAGUUGGUUGGGUUAUCGCCCACCCAGCCGGCGAGUCAUAGCUGGUUUGAGAGCAGGCUCAGCCACGCUGGGACUGAGACACGGCCCAGACUCCUACGGGAGGCAGCAGUGGGGAAUCUUAGACAAUGGGGGCAACCCUGAUCUAGCCAUGCCGCGUGAGUGAUGAAGGCCUUAGGGUUGUAAAGCUCUUUCGGCUGGGAAGAUAAUGACGGUACCAGCAGAAGAAGCCCCGGCUAACUCCGUG
rnacentral:rRNA from 1 species